ACAACGAAGAGUUUGAUCCUGGCUCAGGAUGAACGCUAGCGACAGGCUUAACACAUGCAAGUCGAGGGGCAGCAUAAGGUGUAGUAAUACAUUGGGUGGCGACCGGCGCACGGGUGCGUAACGCGUAUGCAACCUACCUAUCAGCGGGGGAUAGCCCGGAGAAAUUCGGAUUAAUACCGCAUAAAGCAGGGGUCCCGCAUGGGAAUAUUUGCU
rnacentral:rRNA from 1 species